rnacentral:rRNA from 1 species
UACGAAGGGAGCUAGCGUUGUUCGGAAUCACUGGGCGUAAAGCGCACGUAGGCGGAUGUGUCAGUCAGAGGUGAAAUCCCGGAGCUCAACUUCGGAACUGCCUUUGAUACUGGCGACCUAGAGUUCGGAAGAGGUUAGUGGAAUUCCCAGUGUAGAGGUGAAAUUCGUAGAUAUUGGGAAGAACACCAGUGGCGAAGGCGGCUAACUGGUCCGAUACUGACGCUGAGGUGCGAAAGCGUGGGGAGCAAACAGG